rfam:TPA: Bos taurus chromosome 7, whole genome shotgun sequence.
UCCCUGGUGGCUCAGAGGGUAAAGCGUCUGCCUGCAAUGCAGGAGACCUGGGUUCGAUCCCUGGGUUGGGAA